CGGGGCGUGGCGCAGUCCGGUUAGCGCGCACCGUUCGGGACGGUGAGGUCGGAGGUUCGAAUCCUCUCGCCCCGAC
rnacentral:tRNA from 1 species